rnacentral:tRNA from 2 species
CCUCCCGUAGCUCAGUCGGUAGAGCAGCUCCCUUUUAAGGAGAGGGUCGUAGGUUCGAUUCCUACCGGGAGGA